AUUAAACACAAGAGUUUGAUUCUGGCUCAGGACGAACGCUGGCGGCGUGCCUAAUACAUGCAAGUCGAGCGGGAGUGUAUUGAAAGAUUUAUCUAGAGAUACACUUUAGCGGCGGACGGGUGAGUAACGCGUGAGCAAUCUGUCCUAUACAGGGGGAUAACACAGGGAAACUUGUACUAAUACCGCAUAAUAUUUUAGAGUCGCAUGAUUUUGAAAUGAAAGUGGAAACACGGUAAAGGGGGAGCUCGCGUUCUAUUAGAUAGUUGGUGGGGUAAUGGCCUACCAAGUCAACGAUAGAUAGCCGGCCUGAGAGGGUGAUCGGCCACACUGGAACUGAGACACGGUCCAGACUUCUACGGAAGGCAGCAGUAGGGAAUAUUGGGCAAUGGGCGAAAGCCUGACCCAGCAACGCCGCGUGAGGGAAGAAGGUUUUCGGAUUGUAAACCUCUAUCCUUGGUGAAGAUAAUGACGGUAGCCGAGAAUGAAGCCCCGGCUAACUACGUGCCAGCAGCCGCGGUAAUACGUAGGGGGCGA
rnacentral:rRNA from 1 species